ACAAGAGAUUUCUCCUUAAGUUUUAGAAUUUUCAGAUCCCUAUUGUCGUCCCCGGAUGUUGCGGUAAACAUGAAGUUGCGUUCCAACUCAUCCUCUGUGGGAGGGGUUACACCAUAUUCAAUGAAGGAUGAUGGUAGUCCUAUCUAUUGGACGUGUACGAGACAUCGAAGGGUCAUCUAUAAUCGUUGAAGGCAACAUGUUAGAGGUACCUUUAGCAAAUUCGAAGGGACAAUCAUCACUUUUCGUAGGCAACAAUCGAGGGACGAGAUCAUGUAUUCGUAGGCAACAUCGAGGGUCAUCGAGGGACUAUGAUCUUUGUGAUGAUUUUUGAAUCGAGGGACUUUUGCUAAUGGUACCCCUAUAUUUGAGGGACACAACAAUUUUUUAUUCGUAAGGCAAUCAAGAGGGGCGUACCUUAGAGGUGAUUGUGUGCGAGUGAGUUAGAUUCGAGUAUAUUAUCUUGAAUUAGUGAUCUAACGUUGCUUUUAAAUCUUGCCAUGCAAUCCUAAGCAUGCAUCUAGCAGGUAUAUGAUGCAGAAAUUAAAUUGUGAAAAAGUAAAGGUUCCUACGCUAAAAAAAGGUGUAAGCCUCUGAUACAGGGUGACAACAAGUAAGGAGAUGCAUUGGGUUUAUGGAAUCAGCCCAGAUUUGAACAAAUUGAACCAAACAGGGGGUGCGCAAAUUAUAGUGGGUGUUGAUGUUGUUGAACCUGUUCGUCGGAAUCAGAGUAGUUCGAACGAAACUCCGAACGGAGCGGCGGGAGGUUGCUCUGUGUUUCUGACUCCGAAACCUUUCCUUCUUCUUUUAUCUCUGUUACAAAACAAUACUUGGAACACAAAUCGUUAGUGUUAGAAAAUGUAAAAUUUUGUACUAUGGGGUUUAUUAUUGUGGUGAUUUGUGGUCUUGAAUAAUUUUGAAAGAGCUUGAGGUUUAUGAGAUUUGAAGGAAAUUGAAUAUUUUUGUGAUUUGGUUCAUGUUACAAACUAUGUUAUGUUAAUGGUGUGGUAUGAGAUUUUCUUGUUUUUUUUUUUGUUUGUGUUGCUUUUGAUCUCACAGGUUGUGCUUUGUGAUGGAGUUUUGAGUUUUUGUGUGAUGGAAAGAUAUGUGGGAAUUGAAAUUAUUAGAAAAAAAUAUCUACGGCAGAUAAACAAAAAUUUGUUGCUACGUGAAAUGUGUGUGGAUGGAAAUGGAAAUUGUUAAGUGAAAAAAUAUGAACAUGUGAAUGGGUUAGAGAGUAUGGAGAUUGUUAGUUUGAAAUAUGUCCCUUGUACCUCUCUUUAUAGUCUCCAAAUCAAGUCACAAAUGGUAUAGAACAACCAAAUUAUUAACAUUA